rnacentral:sRNA from 1 species
AUUUUUUUAAGUAAUGAUGUAUGGUGGAUUUUAAAAUUUUGAAUAUUUUAUCUGCAGUAUACCGUGGGUCGAUUUUUUAUAGCUAAAUUUUUUAAGUUUCAAGUUAUAUUCGUUUUGUUAAUAUUAUAUGGUUUUUGUGUUUACGGUUGUAGAAAUGUAUUUUAAUUGUAAAUUUUAAGAAUUCAUCCGUGAUAUACUGUUCUUUAUUGAUAUCGAUUAAAACCCGUCAUCCCAUAUAAACUCGUCUAUAUUAUCUCGUUAGCUAAAUAUUAGUAUUAUAAAAUCCAAGAAAAUAAAUUAUUUUUGUUAUAAAUACAAUAAUUUUAGGAUCUCACCUGUGUUAUACCGUUUCUUGAAUGAUUUUAAAUUUCUACUACUAAUAUAGAUUUUAAAUUUAUCAUAGAAAGUAUAUGAUU